GAAAAAAAAAAAAAAUGAAAAUUUCAAAUUUCUUAUCAAAAAAAAAAAAAAAAAAAAAAGACUCGAAAUGGCCUAAAACGUGCUCCUAGACACUUUCUGUGGGAACUUAUUUUUUCACUAACAAAUUUUGUUGACUCCACACUUGGAAAAAAAAAAAAAAAAAAUGAAAAUGGGAUUUUCUAUACCAAAACAAGCCACCAGGUGGCCAAAAUUUUGCACAAAGGUCGGCCUCAUAAAAUCCUACCACCCAACCCCAACCACGAUCCCAUGAUC
ensembl:lncRNA